rnacentral:rRNA from 1 species
AGCGAACGCUGGCGGCAGGCCUAACACAUGCAAGUCGAACGCCCAGCAAUGGGAGUGGCAGACGGGAUAGUAACACGUGGGAACGCGCCCUUCGGUUCGGAAUAACUCAGGGAAACUUGAGCUAAUACCGGAUACGCCCUUACGGGGAAAGAUUUAUUGCCGAAGGAACGGCCCGCGUCGGAUUAGCUAGUUGGUGAGGUAAUGGCUCACCAAGGCGACGAUCCGUAGCUGGUCUGAGAGGAUGACCAGCAUCACUGGGACUGAGACACGGCCCAGACUCCUACGGGAGGCAGCAGUGGGGAAUAUUGGACAAUGGGCGCAAGCCUGAUCCAGCCAUGCCGCGUGGAUGAUGAAGGCCCUAGGGUUGUAAAGUCCUUUUAACGGGGAAGAUAAUGACGGUACCCGUAGAAUAAGCCCCGGCUAACUUCGUGCCAGCAGCCGCGGUAAUACGAAGGGGGCUAGCGUUGCUCGGAAUUACUGGGCGUAAAGCGCACGUAGGCGGGUCGAUAAGUCGGGGGUGAAAUCCUGGAGCUCAACUCCAGAACUGCCUUCGAAACUGUCGAUCUUGAGUUCGGGAGAGGUGAGUGGAACUGCGAGUGUAGAGGUGAAAUUCGUAGAUAUUCGCAAGAACACCAGUGGCGAAGGCGGCUCACUGGCCNCGAUACUGACGC